rnacentral:rRNA from 1 species
GUCUAAGGCCAUGCCACCCUGAACAAGCCCAAUGUCUGAUCUCAGAAGCUAAGCAGCAUCAGACCUGGUUAGUACUUGUAUGGGAGACCACCUAGGAAGACUAGGUGCUGUAAGCA